GCCAAGGGGCUUUGGCUUAGCAGCAGAGCAUCCGCUUCACGUGCGGAAGGUCCCAGGUUCAAUCCUCGGCUUCCGUU
rnacentral:tRNA from 1 species